GGAGUUACAAAGGAACGAAGUAAAUGAAGAGGUCUGGAAAGGCCCGUCAAAGAAGGUAACAACCCUGUAGUUGAAACUUCGUUCCCUCCAGAGUGGAUCCUGAGUACGGCGGGACACGUGAAAUCCCGUCGGAAGCAGGGAGGACCAUCUCCCAAGGCUAAAUACUCCCUAGUGACCGAUAGUGAACCAGUACCGUGAGGGAAAGGUGAAAAGCACCCCGGGAGGGGAGUGAAAGAGAACCUGAAACCGUGUGCCUACAAGUAGUUAGAGCUCUGUGCGUAUUUCCUUCGGAAAGACGCCGAGUGAUAGCGUGCCUUUUGUAGAAUGAACCGGCGAGUUACGAUUUCAAGCAAGGUUAAGCUGAAGAGGCGGAGCCGCAGCGAAAGCGAGUCUUAAUAGGGCGAAUGAGUUUGAGGUCGUAGACCCGAAACCAGGUGAUCUACCCAUGUCCAGGGUGAAGGUAAGGUAACACUUACUGGAGGCCCGAACCCACGCACGUUGAAAAGUGCGGGGAUGAGGUGUGGGUAGCGGAGAAAUUCCAAUCGAACUUGGAGAUAGCUGGUUCUCUCCGAAAUAGCUUUAGGGCUAGCCUUAAGGUAAGAGUCUUGGAGGUAGAGCACUGUUUGGACUAGGGGCCCUCAUCGGGUUACCGAAUUCAGACAAACUCCGAAUGCCAAUGACUUAUCCUUAGGAGUCAGACUGCGAGUGAUAAGAUCCGUAGUCAAAAGGGAAACAGCCCAGACCACCAGCUAAGGUCCCAAAGUAUACGUUAAGUGGAAAAGGAUGUGGAGUUGCUUAGACAACCAGGAUGUUGGCUUAGAAGCAGCCACCAUUUAAAGAGUGCGUAAUAGCUCACUGGUCGAGUGACUCUGCGCCGAAAAUGUACCGGGGCUAAACGUAUCACCGAAGCUGUGGAUGGA
rnacentral:ncRNA from 2 species